rnacentral:rRNA from 1 species
ACUCAAAUGAAUUGACGGGGACCCGCACAAGCGGUGGAGCAUGUGGUUUAAUUCGACGCAACGCGAAGAACCUUACCUAAACUAGAAUGCCUUUGAUCGUUCCCUAAUAGGAAUUUCCUGAGCAAUCAGGCAAAGUGCAAGGUGCUGCAUGGCUGUCGUCAGCUCGUGUCGUGAGAUGUUGGGUUAAGUCCCGCAACGAGCGCAACCCUUAUUGACAGUUGCCAACAGGUAAUGCUGGGAACUCUGUCAAGACUGCCGUUGAUAAAACGGAGGAAGGUGGGGAUGAUGUCAAGUCAUCAUGGCCUUUAUGUUUAGGGCUACACACGUGCUACAAUGGUUGGUACAAAACGUCGCAAUCUCGCAAGAGGGAGCUAAUCGCAAAAACCAAUCUCAGUUCGGAUUGAAGUCUGCAACUCGACUUCAUGAAGUUGGAAUCGCUAGUAAUCGCAGAUCAGAACGCUGCGGUGAAUACGUUCCCGGGUCUUGCACACACCGCCCGU